rnacentral:rRNA from 1 species
UGAGGAAUAUUGGUCAAUGGGCGGGAGCCUGAACCAGCCAAGCCGCGUGAGGGAGGAAGGCCCUAUGGGUCGUAAACCUCUUUUGUCAGGGAACAAAAGCGAGUAUGUAUACUAGUCUGAGUGUACCUGAAGAAAAACGCAUCGGCUAACUCCGUGCCAGCAGCCGCGGUAAUACGGAGGAUGCGAGCGUUAUCCGGAUUUAUUGGGUUUAAAGGGUGCGUAGGCGGCGGUGCAAGUCAGCGGUAAAAGCCCGGGGCUCAACCCCGGCGAGCCGUUGAAACUGCAGUGCUAGAGAAGCGAGAGGUACGCGGAAUGCGCAGUGUAGCGGUGAAAUGCUUAGAUAUUGCGCAGAACUCCGAUUGCGAAGGCAGCGUACUGGCGCCUGACUGACGCUGAGGCGCGAAAGCGUGGGGAUCGAACAGGAUUAGAUACCC